rnacentral:rRNA from 1 species
GACGAACCGUCCUAACGUUGUUCGGAAUCACUGGGCUUAAAGGGCUCGUAGGCGGCCAACUAAGUCGGAUGUGAAAUCCCCAGGCUUAACCUGGGAACUGCAUCCGAUACUGGAUGGCUUGAAUCCGGGAGAGGGAUGCAGAAUUCCAGGUGUAGCGGUGAAAUGCGUAGAUAUCUGGAGGAAUACCGGUGGCGAAGGCGGCAUCCUGGACCGGCAUUGACGCUGAGGAGCGAAAGCUAGGGGAGCAAACGGG